UACAACCCUGAUGAAGAUGCAACACUAUAUACAAUUACUGAAGCACCUUGAUAAGGGGAAAAAUUAUAGCUAGAUGUACGAAACUAACAGAAUAAAAUGAAGCGAUGCAGAGGUUUUUUUUUUUUUUUUAAUGAAAGGCCAAUUAUUGCUUGCAAAGGCUUGCAACAAGUAAUCUAAACAAAAAUUUGAUCAUAGUCUAAAUAUUGCAAAAAAAUGAAUAUUUUUUGAACAUUUUCAUGAGAUAAUAACUCCACUUCCGUUUGCUAUUCUUGUUUGAACUUGCUAACCAACGUAAAUUCUUUUUCUGCCAUUACAUUUUGCCAGAACUUUCCAUAAUUUUUCCAAGACUUGCUGGUUUUAGCCAUAGGCAAGCUUCCACAGCAUAUGCAAGAAUCAAAGAUAUGAAAGACUUCCAAAUGACGCACCAACCUCAAAAUACUUGUCCCUUUGUGUUACCACACCAUAUUUGCUAGAAUUUGACUCUCUACAAACGAAGUUGCAGAAAAUUGAAAAGUAGGAAAAUGCAGUGACUAAUUGCACAUUUAUCUGUUUGGACCCCUUUUAGGACAGGGCUAGAACAUUCCUUUUUGACAAAAUUACAGCAUUCAGAGGCGGCUAAAGAUUUUCAUCUUAGCCCUGGUUAAAGCUUCCCACCAAACGCAAAGAGAACGAGGUAAAAAAAAAAACAUGAAAACUUCGAACCGCACUGCCCUGAACGAUGAAAACCAAAUCGGAAAUACGCUAAACCAGAUCCGAACAGUUACCUUCUCUGACCAAACACACAGAAGAAGAUUCCAAAAGCAUUCUGUACUGAAUCAGCCGGAAAUCUGAAUUACCUGAAAGUCGGCAAAAAACUUGAAACAUUCCGCGAACGAGAGCUGAGACAAUGAACGACGGACUGUAGUCGAUUUUGCAAUGUGGAAGUUUAAGGGUCUCAAUUCGUCGACUGAGAGAGAGAGAGAGAGAGAGAGAGGGGUUCGAUCUUGGAGGUUGGUCGGAAGAUCGACGAAGAGGAGAUU